rnacentral:rRNA from 1 species
CCUACGGGAGGCAGCAGUGAGGAAUAUUGGUCAAUGGACGAGAGUCUGAACCAGCCAAGUAGCGUGAAGGAUGACUGCCCUAUGGGUUGUAAACUUCUUUUAUAUGGGAAUAAAAUGUUCCACGUGUGGGAUUUUGUAUGUACCAUAUGAAUAAGGAUCGGCUAACUCCGUGCCAGCAGCCGCGGUAAUACGGAGGAUCCGAGCGUUAUCCGGAUUUAUUGGGUUUAAAGGGAGCGUAGGUGGAUUGUUAAGUCAGUUGUGAAAGUUUGCGGCUCAACCGUAAAAUUGCAGUUGAAACUGGCAGUCUUGAGUACAGUAGAGGUGGGCGGAAUUCGUGGUGUAGCGGUGAAAUGCUUAGAUAUCACGAAGAACUCCGAUUGCGAAGGCAGUUCACUGGACUGCAACUGACACUGAGGCGCGAAAGUGUGGGUAUCAAACAGGAUUAGAUACCCGUGUAGUC